rnacentral:ncRNA from 1 species
AGCCUUCUUAUCAACUUUUACUUGUCCUACACAUGCAAGUCUCAGCAUCCCCGUGAGAACGCCCUUUACCCCUCCCACAGGAGAAGGAGCCGGCAUCAGGCACAAAAAUUGCCCACAACGCCUAGCUACGCCACAUCCCCACGGAUACUCAGCAGUGAUAAACUUUGUUUAUAAGCGACAGCUUGAAUCAGUUAGAGUAAAAAGAGCCGGCAAAUCCGGUGCCAGCCGCCGCGGCUACACCGUUGGGCUCAAGUUGAUUGGCAUCGGCGUUAAGCGUGAUUAAAGUGAAAUCAAGAUUAGAGUUAAACCGACACCAAGUUGUGACACACUUGUAUUCGAGAAGCCCAAAAACGAAAGUUACCCUAACCUUUCCACUUGAAGCCACGACAGCUGGGGCACAAACUGGGAUUAGGUACCCCACUAUGCCCAGCCGUAAAAUAUCCACUCACACCUAAAACCGCCAGGGAAUUACGAGCUCAAGCUUAAAACCCAAAGGACUUGACGGUGUCCCAUCCACCUAGAGGAGCCUGUUCUAUAAUCGACUCUCCCCGAUUCACCUCACCCCUUCUAGCCCCUCAGUCUGUAUACCUCCGUCGCAAGCUUACCAUGUGAACGAAACUAGUGAGCUUAAUGAUCUAUCCAUCAACACGUCAGGUCAAGGUGCAGCUUACGAAGUGGGAAGAAAUGGGCUACAAUUUCUAACUUAGAACAAACGAAAGACUUCAUGAAAUACAGUCAAGAAGGCGGAUUUAGUAGUAAAAAGAAAAUAGAGUGUUCUUUUUAAUUAGGCCCUGGGACGCGUACACACCGCCCGUCACCCUCUUCAAAUGC